GUGCCAGCAGCCGCGGUAAUACGUAGGUGGCAAGCGUUGUCCGGAUUUAUUGGGCGUAAAGCGAGCGCAGGCGGUUUCUUAAGUCUGAUGUGAAAGCCCCCGGCUUAACCGGGGAGGGUCAUUGGAAACUGGGAGACUUGAGUGCAGAAGAGGAGAGUGGAAUUCCAUGUGUAGCGGUGAAAUGCGUAGAUAUAUGGAGGAACACCAGUGGCGAAGGCGGCUCUCUGGUCUGUAACUGACGCUGAGGCUCGAAAGCGUGGGGAGCAAACAGGAUUAGAUACCCUGGUAGUCC
rnacentral:rRNA from 1 species